rnacentral:rRNA from 1 species
UACGGGGGGGGCGAGCGUUGUUCGGAAUCACUGGGCGUAAAGGGCGCGUAGGCGGCCCGCACAAGUCUGCGGUGAAAACCUCCGGCUUAACCGGGGGCCGGCCGUGGAAACUGUCGGGCUGGAGGCUGGGAGAGGGCAGCGGAAUUCCCGGUGUAGCGGUGAAAUGCGUAGAGAUGUGGAGGAAUACCGAUGGCGAAGGCAGCCCCCUGGGAUAACACUGACGCUCAGGCACGAAAGCGUGGGGAGCAAACAGG